GCGUUAUUCGGAUUCACUGGGCGUAAAGGGUGCGCAGGCGGCCAAGUGUGUGAGGCGUGAAAGCCUGGGGCUUAACCCCAGAAUUGCACCUCAAACUACAUGGCUAGAGCAUUGGAGAGGGUAGCAGAAUUCAUGGUGUAGCAGUGAAAUGCGUAGAUAUCAUGAGGAAUACCAGAGGCGAAGGCGGCUACCUGGACAAUUGCUGACGCUCAGGCACGAAAGCGUG
rnacentral:rRNA from 1 species